rnacentral:rRNA from 1 species
AUAUGUUUGAUUCAGGAGAGGAUGACUGGAAGGAAACUUGGGACAGGAACCAGGCGUAGUGGAUUGUGGUAUAUGGAUCGUGAUGUGUCUAGGUCUGGUGCUAGUCCUAUUUUGGCUGUACUAGUUGGAGUAAGUGAGACAAUGGCGAUGAUCCAUCACUGUCGCAUGGGGCAUAUGGCUUUUGAUAAGAUGAGUAAGAUGUUUCCCGAUGUAAUGCGUGGAGUAGACAAGAGUAAGCUUAUGUGUGAUGCAUGUGAAUAUGCAAAGCACACAAGAAUCUCGUAUUUGAGUAAGGGGCUAAGGAGUAUAUCCCCGUUUAUGCUGAUUCACUCUGAUGUGUGA